UGGGGAAUAUUGCACAAUGGGCGAAAGCCUGAUGCAGCAACGCCGCGUGCGGGAAGAAGGCCCUAGGGUUGUAAACCGCUUUCAGCAGGGAAGAAAAUGACGGUACCUGCAGAAGAAGGUGCGGCCAACUACGUGCCAGCAGCCGCGGCGACACGUAGGCACCAAGCGUUGUCCGGAUUUAUUGGGCGUAAAGAGCUCGUAGGCGGUUUAGUAAGUCGGGUGUGAAAACUCUGGGCUCAACCCAGAGACGCCACCCGAUACUGCUAUGACUUGAGUACGGUAGGGGAGCGGGGAAUUCCUGGUGUAGCGGUGAAAUGCGCAGAUAUCAGGAGGAACACCAGUGGCGAAGGCGCCGCUCUGGGCCGAAACUGACGCUGAGGAGCGAAAGCGUGGGUAGCAAACAGGAUUAGAUACCCUGGUAGUCCACGCCGUAAACGUUGGGCACUAGGUGUGGGUCUCAACCACGAGAUCCGCGCCGUCGCUAACGCAUUAAG
rnacentral:rRNA from 1 species